GUGUUAAAACACUGGUUUUCAUUCAAUCAUUGAAGUUAAGCAACAUUGAGCCUGGUCAGUACCUAGAUGGGUGACUGCUUAGGAAUACCAGGUGCUGUAAG